AACGCACCUUGCACUCUUUGGUAUUCCGAAGAGUAUGCUUGUUUGAGUAUCAUUAAAUUCUCAAACCACUACUUGGUUUUAUAUCAAGUCAGUGGCUUUGGAUGUGGAAGUUGCAGGCUUCUUGUAAAGUCUGCUCUUCUUAAAAGCAUUAGUGGUUAUUGAUUCCACUUCUUGGUGUGAUAAUAUCUACGCCUUGUAAGAAUGGAUCUAAUGUAGCUGCUCUCAAACCGUCUUUACAGACAAUUUGAACCAUUUGAUCUCAAAUCAAGUAGGACUACCCGCUGAACUUAA
rnacentral:misc_RNA from 1 species